GACGAACGCUGGCGGCGUGCUUAACACAUGCAAGUCGAACGGAAAGGCCCUGCUUUUGUGGGGUGCUCGAGUGGCGAACGGGUGAGUAACACGUGAGUAACCUGCCCUUGACUUUGGGAUAACUUCAGGAAACUGGGGCUAAUACCGGAUAGGAGCUCCUGCUGCAUGGUGGGGGUUGGAAAGUUUCGGCGGUUGGGGAUGGACUCGCGGCUUAUCAGCUUGUUGGUGGGGUAGUGGCUUACCAAGGCUUUGACGGGUAGCCGGCCUGAGAGGGUGACCGGCCACAAUGGGACUGAGGAACGGCCCAGGAUCCUACGGGAGGGAGCAGUGGGGAAUAUUGCACAAUGGGCGGAAGCCUGAUGCAGCAACCCCGCGUGCGGGAAUAAGGCCUUUGGGGUGUAAACCGCUUUUGCCUUGUACGGAGCCGGAGUGACGGUAAUGGGUAAAAAAGCAACGGCUAACUACGGG
rnacentral:rRNA from 1 species